GUUGUCAUAGCUCAACGGUUAGAGCGGAACACUGUUAAUGUUUAGAUAAAGGUUCGAUUCCUUUUGACGACU